UGGGCAGUAUCGUUUGUGAACUGCACCUGGCGCUUUUUGUUUAUUUGGAUAGUUAUGAAAAGUCUGCCUAGAUCCGUUUGAGGACCAGGACAGAGGG
rnacentral:ncRNA from 1 species